GUUUGGCUGUGAUGAUACAACCUUCAGCUUACAACGCCAGUUCUGCUUCUGAGAAUUCAUGACAGAUCAAGCUGAUUCAAAUCUGAGCCUUGU